CCUACGGGAGGCAGCAGUGGGGAAUAUUGGACAAUGGGGGGAACCCUGAUCCAGCGACGCCGCGUGAGUGAAGAAGUAUUUCGGUAUGUAAAGCUCUAUCAGCAGGGAAGAAAAUGACGGUACCUGACUAAGAAGCCCCGGCUAACUACGUGCCAGCAGCCGCGGUAAUACGUAGGGGGCAAGCGUUAUCCGGAUGUAAUGGGUGUAAAGGGAGCGUAGACGGUGCAGCAAGUCUGAUGUGAAAGGUCGGGGCUCAACCCCGGGACUGCAUUGGAAACUGUUGAACUGGAGUACAGGAGAGGGAAGCAGAAUUCCAGGUGUAGCGGUGAAAUGCGUAGAGAUUAGGAGGAACACCAGUGGCGAAGGCGGCUUACUGGACUGUAACUGACGUUGAGGCUCGAAAGCGUGGGGAGCAAACAGGAUUAGAUACCCUUGUAGUC
rnacentral:rRNA from 1 species